rnacentral:rRNA from 1 species
AAGUCUGGUGCCAGCAGCCGCGGUAAUUCCAGCUCCAAUAGCGUAUAUUAAAGUUGUUGCAGUUAAAAAGCUCGUAGUUGAAUUUCGGGGUUAGUAGGUUGGUCAUGCCUCCGGUAUGUACUGAUCUUACUGAUUCCUCCUUCCUGAUGAACCGUAAUGCCAUUAAUUUGGUGUUGCGGGGAAACUGGACUGUUGCUUUGAAAAAAUUAGAGUGUUUAAAGCAAGCUAACGCUUGAAUACAUUAGCAUGGAAUAAUGAAAUAGGACGUUCGAUCCUAUUUUGUUGGUUUCUAGGAUUGACGUAAUGAUUAAUAGGGAUAGUUGGGGGCAUUAGUAUUCAAUUGUCAGAGGUGAAAUUCUUGGAUUUAUUGAAGACUAACUACUGCGAAAGCAUUUGCCAAGGAUGUUUUCAUUAAUCAAGAACGAAAGUUAGGGGAUCGAAGACGAUCAGAUACCGUCGUAGUCUUAACCAUAAACUAUGCCGACUAGGGAUCGGAUGAUGUUAAUUUUUUAAUGACUCAUUC